UUAAUUGAAAUGACGUCGUUUUGAAGGAGCAAAUCUUGACCGCUUAUCCACAGAACAAAUCCAAGUCGUUGAUCUCUUUUAAUGUUUAAUUCAUUGAUUUUUUUGACCAGCAGUAUUAACUUCAGAGAUUCAACCAUUUUUUGUUCCAGGUUACCUUUCGGCGACAACUUCAUCCCUAGCUUCCUGACUUUAAACAGUAGAGUACAAGUUUAGCGAAGAUGCAGAUCUUUUCGUUCAACCACUCUAGCUUCCUCACGUCUUCCUCCGCUGCGCCCACUGGCUUCCACGACCAAAUUCCUAUUUUAAGAUUCGACGAGUUGCCCCAAGUCGAAGCCUGAAUCGCUUCUCUGUAACAGUCACCUAUGACGACUCACGUGAGACAGGGAUGUGAAUUUUGUUGAUUGAUCUUCUUUGAAGCACUGUUAAAGUUGGGAUUUUACUCAAGCAAGGAAGACAUGGAAUAUUUCAGCUUUUCGAGUGGAAUUGAAUGUGCUGUGAAGACUUGGCAAACCCAGAAGGAAUCAAAAAUACUAAAGGAGCUGCCUUAUACUGUCAAAAUGACUGGACCAAAAUGAAACAAAAAUAUUGAAGAAGCUACCUUGUACUGGCUAAAUGACUGCACCAAAAUAUCUUCUUGAACCAGAAUGAAGCUAAAGCUGGAGUAGUGGCCACGAUCAUGGGAUAUAUCUUCACGUGUGACUGAUGGUGCUAGAUUGAGAACCUAUGUUAAAGAGACAGCAUUGUUAAAGUUUUACAAAUGUACUGCUUGUAAAUAAUUGAAUUGAAAGUUCUAGUAUACUAGAACACAUGUA